GGUCGAUUAGCUCAGUUGGUUAGAGUGUCACGUUGACAUCGUGGAGGUCAUUGGUUCGAUUCCAAUAUCGACCACAA
rnacentral:tRNA from 1 species